rnacentral:rRNA from 1 species
UCCUACGGGAGGCAGCAGUGGGGAAUUUUGGACAAUGGGCGAAAGCCUGAUCAGCCGUUCCGCGUGAGUGAAGAAGGCCUUCGGGUUGUAAAGCUCUUUCGCAGGAACGAAACGGUGGGCUCUAAUACACCCACUAAUGACGGUACCUGAAGAAGAAACACCGGCUAACUACGUGCCAGCAGCCGCGGUAAUUAAAC